UUUUAAUACGACAUAAUAUUCGAAAACAAAACAAAUGUAUUAUUAAAGCGACAAGGACAUGAAGAAAUGAGACGUGUAUUCCAUUUCAGUUCUCGUGUGACCGUCCGCCGGAGAAGAUAAGCACCCAUUGCUGCCGUAAGCUUAAAUGUAUCUACUUUUUUUGGCAAGAUAACGUUUUGACACUCGAAGGCCCUUUCGGAAAAUGGAGAAAAUCGAUAAACGACCGACAGACUCGCGCGUAAACUCGCGUAAAAGGAGAAAGGAAGUAAAACAGAGACAGAAGAAACAGAAAGAAGAGAGAAAAAAAAAAGAAGGAACAAUUAUCUAAUAAUAAAACAUGGCGGCAAAUUGAUCAAGGUCGUAUUACUUAGUCUCGAUGUACGAGGCUCAAUUUCCAAGGACAUGCGAUAAAGAUCCUUUUCAUUUAGGAGCAACGACG